AGAACAGCGAGAAAUUCUCAUGAUCACCAACAUCAAUGGUGUCCGUUCAUCCGGCGGCUGUUC
rnacentral:tRNA from 1 species